rfam:Gossypium hirsutum cultivar TM-1 chromosome 8, whole genome shotgun sequence
UAUUAAAAAUUAUAUUAAUUUCUAUUAUUAAAAGCUGACGUGGUUAAUAAAAUAACUCGAUAAUUACACAUGGCAUGUUACGUGUACGUCAUACUAUCGUAUAAGGAUUAGUUUUCAACCGUAAAAAUUAAUAAAUAUUUUAAUA